rfam:Candidatus Micrarchaeota archaeon CG1_02_55_41 cg1_0.2_scaffold_2002_c, whole genome shotgun sequence.
AGCCCCGUCGUCUAGCGGUCAAGGAUGACAGCCUCUGGAGCUGUAGACAGCAGUUCGAAUCUGCUCGGGGCUA